GACGGGAGGUACAAGCGUUACUCGGAAUUACUGGGCGUAAAGCGUCCGCAGCCGAUUUCUUAAGUCUGGUGUGAAAGCACGGAGCUCAACUCCGUGUACGUGCCGGAAACUGGGAAAAUUGAGUCAUCUAGAGGCACCUGGAAUGCCAUGUGUAGGGGUAAAAUCCGUUGAUCCAUGGUAGAACGCCAAAAGCGAAGGCAGGGUGCUGGGGAUGUACUGACGGUCAGGGACGAAAGCGUGGGGAGCAAACGGG
rnacentral:rRNA from 1 species